GACGAACGCUGGCGGCGUGCUUAACACAUGCAAGUCGUACGGUAAGGCCCUUUCGGGGGUACACGAGUGGCGAACGGGUGAGUAACACGUGAGUAACCUGCCCACAACUUUGGGAUAACGCUAGGAAACUGGUGCUAAUACUGGAUAUGUGCUCCUGCUGCAUGGUGGGGGUUGGAAAGCUCCGGCGGUUGUGGAUGGACUCGCGGCCUAUCAGCUUGUUGGUGGGGUAGUGGCCUACCAAGGCGGCGACGGGUAGCCGGCCUGCGAGGGUGACCGGCCACAUUGGGACUGAGAGACGGCCCAGACUCCUACGGGAGGCAGCAGUGGGGAAUAUUGCACAAUGGGCGCAAGCCUGAUGCAGCAACGCCGCGUGCGGGAUGACGGCCUUCGGGUUGUAAACCGCUUUCAGCAGGGACGAAGCUUUUUGUGACGGUACCUGCAGAAGAAGCACCGGCUAACUACGUG
rnacentral:rRNA from 1 species